rnacentral:rRNA from 1 species
GACGAACGCUGGCGGCGUGCUUAACACAUGCAAGUCGAGCGGAAAGGCCCUUCGGGGUACUCGAGCGGCGAACGGGUGAGUAACACGUGAGUAACCUGCCCCAGACUUUGGGAUAACCCUCGGAAACGGGGGCUAAUACCGGAUACGACACAGCUUCGCAUGGGGUCUGUGUGGAAAGUUUUUCGGUUUGGGAUGGGCUCGCGGCCUAUCAGCUUGUUGGUGGGGUGAUGGCCUACCAAGGCGACGACGGGUAGCCGGCCUGAGAGGGCGACCGGCCACACUGGGACUGAGACACGGCCCAGACUCCUACGGGAGGCAGCAGUGGGGAAUAUUGCACAAUGGGCGGACGCCUGAUGCAGCGACGCCGCGUGAGGGAUGACGGCCUUCGGGUUGUAAACCUCUUUCAGCAGGGACGAAGCGUAAGUGACGGUACCUGCAGAAGAAGCGCCGGCCAACUACGUG